rnacentral:rRNA from 1 species
CACAAGCGGUGGAGCACGUGGUUUAAUUCGAUGCAAACCGAAGAACCUUACCUGGGUUUGACAUGUACGUGGUACGGAUCUGAAAGGUGAAGGACCCGGGUCUUCGGACUGGGAGCGUACACAGGUGCUGCAUGGCUGUCGUCAGCUCGUGUCGUGAGAUGUUGGGUUAAGUCCCGUAACGAGCGCAACCCUUGUCCUUAGUUACCAGCACGUUAUGGUGGGCACUCUAAGGAGACUGCCGGUGACAAACCGGAGGAAGGUGGGGAUGACGUCAGGUCAUCAUGGCCCUUACGGCCUGGGCUACACACGUGCUACAAUGGUCGGUACAAAGGGUUGCCAAGCCGCGAGGUGGAGCUAAUCCCAUAAAACCGAUCGUAGUCCGGAUCGCAGUCUGCAACUCGACUGCGUGAAGUCGGAAUCGCUAGUAAUCGUGAAUCAGAAUGUCACGGUGAAUACGUUCCCGGGCCUU